CACCUCUCCACCCCUGCCUGUCUAUAACACCUGGAAAUCCCUUUUCUUGAGUCAUAUCGUUAUCAGCCGACACCACCCACUUCCCUCCCUCAUAUUUUAUGUCCGACGUGUCAGCCAAAGAGUCUGUCUCUCACUCUUUUUGUCUGGAGCUCAGUUACGCCCCAACUGUAACAAAGCCAAAGUUGCACAAUUAUACCACCAUCAAUUUAUGUGACAGUUGGAAAUAAGGCAAACAUUAACCCGAUUGUGCCAUUUAGAAAGUUGCGGAGCCACAAAGUCCCCUGAUGAUCGCACUCGUGCUAGUUUCACAUUGUCUAAAAUCGGCAUUUCCUGACAUUUCGUAACAAUGACCGAAAAAAGCAAAUGAGGAGUGGGAAGACCGUUGUGCAGAUUGUCAUAUGAGCUUGUGUUAGAGAACUUGGAGCGUUUGUUUCCUGGAAUCCAGUAAGGGGUGACGUGCACAUGCAAACCUGCCCAUUGCUAAUAGCUACUUUGUGGCAACGGACUGACCCGCAGCUCAGUUAGAAAGCAGAGAAGUAGGUGAAUGGCCCACAAAGGUGCUAGUUUGAAUCAUGUGCUUUCUUCCUCCCCCUGUUGGGUUUUAUAUGGCUGUAAAAUCUAUGGAAGCUGCUGACUCCAUAUGUGUGAAGAAACAGAAGCCAAAACAGAAGGUUUCUAAACCCCGACGUUGUGAUGACAUUGUAGCACAAGCAUGCGCCUGGCGCUGGGCCUAUAACGAGCCGUCUGAGCACAAGACGUCCCGAGAGCUGUUAAUGUGUGUGCGCUUGACUGCGAGUUAGACUCACUCUUCAUCAAUGAUGUCAUCAAUCUGCCGCUGUCUUUGACGUCAGGGUCGCAGCGGGAUCUGCUUCCUUAACGGCCAUGCCUCACCAAACACUUGGCAUUCAUCAGAGACUGUGUUUACGACACAACUUCAUAACGUUCGGUUUUGGUUCCGCUACGAUUUUGGUUCCUCCCUGACUCAUGUUAUACUUUUGCAAGACGUUUUUGUGCACUUGUUUUGACAGCCCAACAAACAGAUAGCCUUGGAAGUAUGAUGUCUUUAACAAAGAUGACAUCAAGUUAUCUUUUCUUUUGUUUUAUGCAUCUUGUCAUCUCGGGGUGUGCAAUGUGUCGUUAUUGAUGAGAGAUUUAGCAGUACAGUGAUAAACCGCACUCAAGGGAGCUGCAAUCGCUCAAUUUAAUGAGUUCCAAUACAUGAACAUUCUGCCUUUUCCAAAGAUGAGCUGCUUUACGCCGACCUUAUUUAUCUUGCAUUAUUUGGUAUUGAAUUAAUAUGUUACCCUUUCACUAUGAUGUCCUCAAAAUCUUUCUUAUCGUAUGAUUUUAAAAUCACUCGAUUAAUAGCUAACAAAUGCAUCGCAAAACCAA